rnacentral:misc_RNA from 1 species
CACGCAUGCUCAAAAUAGCGGAAGUGGUAGAUCUAAAUGUUGUUUUAAAAUGAAUUGUAAGACUAAGUUAGGUAAAUAGCCUUUGAGGUGCACAAGAGAUACCCAAAUUAUCUGUGAUUAAAUAGAGCUGCGCGCAGAGUCUAUGUUGGGAUGUCAGAGGAAAUGGCCAUAUAGAAAGUCGUCUGUAUUUCGACGACGAACUCUGCUUGGCUCGGUUCUCUUUUAGAAGUGAAGCUCAAUGCCCAUGAUGACUCUGCUGAUGUACCUUCUAUGAAAUGAUAUUGUGAAGAAAUACAAUUCUGCCUAAUGGAACAAGAAUCUUCCUUUGAAAUGGCUCGGAGAAGAAUGAGAAACUGGCGAUUUAGAUAUAUUUACAUUUUUAUACUAUUGAUACCAGUGCACUUUAUAUUUGACUAUUUUGGCAUAUAUCUUAUGGCAAGAUCUGAAUCAUUCAGUGAAUUCAAAUAUCCACAUGAGGUCGAUAUGCCUAAGUUAGUUGCUGCGUUUGAGCGUGGUAAGAAACCUUGGGUAGGACCCUUGAAUAGACUGAUCCAUCCUGAAGUGUCAAACGCAGAAGACAAAUGUCUUAAUGGCGUAUUUGGGGAUCUCCAUGUAGUUUUAGUUAUAAAAUCAGCGAUGAAUCAUUUUGAAAAUAGGAACAUGAUUCGUAGAACUUGGGGCCUGGAAAUGAACGAUUUAGGAUUUAGGACGCGUAGAGUAUUUGUAGUCGGUGUUGAUCCUCUUAACCAAGAACUACAGCAACAAAUUCAUGAAGAAAAUGUAGCAUUCCAUGACAUCGUGCAGUAUUUUUUCAAAGAUAGUUAUUGGAAUAACACAAUUAAAACAAUGCUGGCUUUUAAAUGGGUUGAACAAUACUGCAGUAAUGCCAAAUAUGCGUUUUUCUUGGAUGACGAUUAUUACGUCUCAAAUAGGAAUCUGAAAAAAUUCAUCCACACAGUUCCAGAAUCAAAACGUAAAAAUUUCAUCGCAGGCUAUAUAUGGACAUAUGCAAGACCUUUGCGACAAAAAAACUCCAAGUGGUAUGUGACGCUUGAGGAAUAUCCAUAUUUUUAUUGGCCGCCAUAUCCAACCGCUGGUUCUUACUUAGUUACUAUGGAAACUAUACACAAAUUCAACAUAGCAAUGUUAUAUACUAAAUAUACGCGUUUUGAUGAUGUUUUCAUUGGUAUAGUGGCAUGGAAACUUGGAAUACGAUUGACACACUCUGAACAUAUGCAUUACUACAAUGUACCAUACACAAAAGAAGCGUAUAGAGACACUAUAGCCAUGCAUGAGGUCCUUGGCAUGGACCUGUGGAAAAUAUGGAAUGAACAAGAAAAGUUAAUAAGUUAAAUCAGUAUUGAAUUAGACUCUUCAUUAUAAUAAUUUGUGGUGUUAUUGUAAAAUCUUAUUGUAAAAUCGUCAACUGUAAGCCAAGGUGUUGUAUAGUUUUAUAUUUUUACAAGAAAAAUACAUGAAUGUUUUUGAAAUUC